UACGUAGGGGUGCAAGCGUUGUCCGGAAUUAUUGGGCGUAAAGAGCUCGUAGGCGGUCUGUCGCGUCUGCUGUGAAAACCCGAGGCUCAACCUCGGGCCUGCAGUGGGUACGGGCAGACUAGAGUGCGGUAGGGGAGAUUGGAAUUCCUGGUGUAGCGGUGGAAUGCGCAGAUAUCAGGAGGAACACCGAUGGCGAAGGCAGAUCUCUGGGCCGUAACUGACGCUGAGGAGCGAAAGCAUGGGGAGCGAACAGG
rnacentral:rRNA from 1 species